AUGGAUGCAUGGAGAGGUCCAGGAGCAGACAACACUCACCAGGCUAUAUUUGAUGCAUAUGGAGCUUAUCUUCAUGGUUCUCAGGGCACCCAUAUAAGCCAGCAACAACAAUGGUUAAGUUCUGCUUCUCUGAAUCAAAUACCAUAUCAUGCAUACCCCUGGAUGCAACACCUAGUGUAUGUUGCUGCUGAUGACAAUACAAUGCAUGGGAAUGAUCAAAACAAUGUGAGCUUUCAUACAAACCUGAGGGGAGACACUUCAAAGGGCAAGUCCACUCAAAUGUCUCCACCACUCCAACACCCUGUAGAUACCAUGGUGCAUGAUGCUCCCAUAUCAUACAUGCAGCUGCUCCUUGCUGCUGAACAAGAGGGGGCUAGAUACGGAUCCUCACAAUCGCAAGAAGAUCACCUAGUCCGUACUGAGAAUGAUAUGUACAUGAUAACUGGGCGAUAUGGGAGAUCAUCCGAAGAUACAGCCCGGCCUGAUGCUCGUUCUGCAGAUCAGUGUUUGUCUCAACUUGAUACACAACAUGAAGAAGAGGUGGAACCUUUUGUUGACAACCAUUUUACAGAAAGCUUGAAUGAUUUGAACUGGGACAGAGAUAUGGAGAUGGAUGGAGGAAACAAAAACUGCUUGAUAGAUUCAACUGAUAAUCCUUCUGACAGUGAUUCUGAGGAUGAUCUUCCUCCAACGUUGUUGCAAAGAAGCUCUGAUAUGACUGCUGUAACUGCUGGACAACAAGAAAAUAGUGGUGCAGCUGAUGAAGUUGAACAAUUGACAUAG
rnacentral:rRNA from 1 species